AGAACGAACGCCGGCGGCGUGGAUAAGACAUGCAAGUCGAACGGGAUUACUUUUGUAGCAAUACAGAAGUAAUUCAGUGGCGAACGGGUGCGUAACACGUGGGCAAUCUGCCGAAAAGUGGGGGAUAGCUCGCCGAAAGGCGAAUUAAUACCGCAUGCGGUGAGGGACGACAUCUUCCUGAAUCCAAAGCCGGGGCAACCUGGCGCUUUUUGAGGAGCCCGCGGCCUAUCAGCUAGUUGGCGGGUAACGGCCCACCAAGGCUAUGACGGGUAGCUGGUCUGAGAGGACGACCAGUCACACUGGAACUGAGACACGGUCCAGACACCUACGGGUGGCAGCAGUCGAGAAUUUUUCUCAAGGGGGGAAACCCUGGAAGGAGCGACGCCGCGUGGAGGAUGAAGGCUUUCGGGUGUAAACUCCUGUCAUUUGAGAACAAGGUGCGACCGGUUAACUGCCGUGCAUUGAUAGUAUCAGAAGAGGAAGGACGACGUAACUCGUGUGCCAGCAGCCGA
rnacentral:rRNA from 1 species